AAACUUCUUUGAAAUUCCCUCUGCUCAGUUCACAUAAAUGAAUUUAAGGCAUAAGGUUGAAUUCGGGAUGAGAAGGGGAUCAUAAUGGUGGUGGUCUCGUGUCUUGAUGUUACCAAAAGAUGAAACUCUAGUGAGAGCUCAUCGGAGAAGAUUACCGGAGUAUUUCUCAGGUGGUUUGAGUUUGGGUUAGACACGUUGGUAUUUUGAAAUGUUUUGAUUGGUUAAAUUCAAAUUGGAUUCUGUGUUCUGAUUUCAACGUGUUCCAUCGUGCUUCUCAUCAUUUGGAAUGUUGGAUCUUCCACGUCAAUUAAUGAGGCGUGAUCCAACGCUCCUGGUUUUUUAUGAUUUUAAUUAUUUUUCUUUUAUUAUUUUAAAUUGUUUUUUCUUUAAAAGUUCAUAGUAAUUUCAUUUUUUAUCCAAAAAAUCCCAAAAUAAUUUCUAAAAUUCUCUUUUAUUUUUCUCCAUCUGAUUUUUAUUUUUCCACAUUUUAUUUCAUUGAUUUUCUAUUUUUCAUGAAUUUUCU
rnacentral:lncRNA from 1 species